CGUGCGCUGGAUUAUGACUGA
rnacentral:siRNA from 1 species